CUCGUCACAAAACAACAUCCGCUCGCCCUAGCUAACCGCCAACCACUCUGCGCACGCGUAAAGAGGGGCUGGUGGUGAGGAAUUGUUGUUGAAUUGGAAGGGAAGGCUUGGAAAUGACAUAAAUGCAUCAUCCUAUGCAAUCAGUACACUCGGUCAAAUACCGCUCUACAACCAGAAAAAUAACCUAACGGCCAGAUGGGAAGGGACUUAAUAAAUUUAAGAAGGUUUUUCUCAGUCAGACGGCACACACUAGACUUCUGACUUGAAAAGGACGAUUAAAGAAGUGUUUCAAAGUUAGCCAUUUUCCUCUUCCGUAAGCCCGACGGGAAAUGAGGGAGGCUUUACGAUCAACUGACGUUCAAUCCCGUGACCCUUCUGACGUCAUUUCCGAAAGGAAGAAGCUACACAGCCAGACUGAGUAGAUGCUUUGUGCCCAGAAAACAAAAUGGCUGCCGCUGUCAGCGAUACGGAAUUCUCAGUGAAGUGAGUUUGGUAGCUCUAGCCUUGCUCCGCCCUUGCUGGGGUCGCCACCAGCUC